AGAAAGGGGGUGGAGUGCUUAACACAUGCAAGUCGAACGGAAAGGCCCUGCUUUUGUGGGGUGCUCGAGUGGCGAACGGGUGAGUAACACGUGAGUAACCUGCCCUUGACUUUGGGAUAACUUCAGGAAACUGGGGCUAAUACCGGAUAGGAGCUCCUGCUGCAUGGUGGGGGUUGGAAAGUUUCGGCGGUUGGGGAUGGACUCGCGGCUUAUCAGCUUGUUGGUGGGGUAGUGGCUUACCAAGGCUUUGACGGGUAGCCGGCCUGAGAGGGUGACCGGCCACAUUGGGACUGAGAUACGGCCCAGACUCCUACGGGAGGCAGCAGUGGGGAAUAUUGCACAAUGGGCGGAAGCCUGAUGCAGCAACGCCGCGUGCGGGAUGACGGCCUUCGGGUUGUAAACCGCUUUCGCCUGUGACGAAGCGUGAGUGACGGUAAUGGGUAAAGAAGCACCGGCUAACUACGUG
rnacentral:rRNA from 1 species